GGCCCUACGGGGUGCAGCAGGCGCGAAAACUUUACAAUGCUGGGAACAGCGAUAAGGGAACCUCGAGUGCCAGGUUACAAAUCUGGCUGUCGUGAUGCCUAAAAAGCAUUAUAUAGCAAGGGCCGGGCAAGACCGGUGCCAGCCGCCGCGGUAACACCGGCGGCCCGAGUGGUGAUCGUGAUUAUUGGGUCUAAAGGGUCCGUAGCCGGUUUGGUCAGUCCUCCGGGAAAUCUGAUGGCUCAACCAUUAGGCUUUCGGGGGAUACUGCCAGGCUUGGAACCGGGAGAGGUAAGAGGUACUACAGGGGUAGGAGUGAAAUCUUGUAAUCCCUGUGAGACCACCUGUGGCGAAGGCGUCUUACCAGAACGGGUUCGACGGUGAGGGACGAAAGCUGGGGGCACGAACCGGAUUAGAUACCCGGGUAGUCCCAGCCGUAAACGAUGCUCGCUAGGUGUCAGGCAUGGCGCGACCGUGUCUGGUGCCGCAGGGAAGCCGUGAAGCGAGCCACCUGGGAAGUACGGCCGCAAGGCUGAAACUUAAAGGAAUUGGCGGGGGAGCACAACAACGGGUGGAGCCUGCGGUUUAAUUGGACUCAACGCCGGACAACUCACCGGGGACGACAGCAAUAUGUAGGCCAG
rnacentral:rRNA from 1 species